rnacentral:misc_RNA from 1 species
CGAUUUUCUUGUUACACUUUGGAAGUGUUAAAAAACGUUUCAUAAAGACAUAUAUUCUAUCUCUUUAUUUUUGACCUCGACCUGAGCUCAGGCAAGAACACCCGCUGAACUUAAGCAUAUCAAUAAGCGGAGGAAAAGAAACUAACAAGGAUUCCCYUAGUAACGGCGAGUGAAACGGGAAAAGCUCAACCUUAAAACCCAAUAGGGCAUGUGGGGUUCGGCAUUGUUUUCCUAGCUACUGGCAAGAUCUAAGAUAGCUGGAAUGCUAUUGCAGCGAGGGUGAUACUCCCGUUCAUGAUCUUGCUGUACCUGUGUGAAAGCAACUGC